CUUACUGUUGACAUAGAUCAAGUAGAAGUGCAGUUUAAUCAAUCGGAAUGUAACUUCAUCAUCAUAAAUGCUCAAAAACCUCCAUCUGCUGAAAUUUCCAAUAGCCAACAAAGUCGACAGGUUGAAAGUGCUCCUUCUCUGGUGCUUGUUACAAACAAGUGGCUACGGUUGACAUAUGCAAUUAAAUCUGAACAAAGUGGGAAGCUGGAAUGCAUAUAUGUUAUUGCAAAAAUGGGACCCCACUUCACAAUUUGCUGCAGAGCUGAAAGUCCUGCUUCAAUGGACGAUUUACCUCUUUGGAAGUUUGAAGACCGUGUAGAGACUUUUCCAACUAAGGAUCCUGCUCUUGCAUUUUCUGGUCAGAAGCUUGCCCAGGUUGAAGAACCAGACCCACAAGUGGAUCUUAUUUUAGGUGCUACUGGACCUGCAUUGGUUGGAGAGUGCUUUGUUAUACCUGUAACUGUGGCCUCCAAGGGUCAUGACAUCUUUUCUGGUGAGUUGAAAAUCAAUCUAGUGGAUGUAAGAGGAGGUGGGUUGUUUAGUCCAAGGGAAGCAGAACCAUUCUCUAUGGAUAACCAUCAUGUUGAGCUUCUUGGUGUUAAUGGGCCAGAAGGAGAAGAUGAAUCUCCUGUGGGAUAUGAUAAAAUAAAGAAAAUUCAGCAGUCCUUUGGUCUGGUGUCUGUUCCAGUUCUGCAAGAUGGAGAAUCAUGGUCCUGCAAACUGGAAAUCAAGUGGCAUCGACCCAAACCGAUUAUGGUUUUUGUAUCAUUGGGCUAUUUUCGAGAUAGCAACGAAAUGACUUCACAAAAAAUCCAUGUCCACAAGAACUUGCAAAUUGAAGGAAAGACUGCUGUUCUAAUCAGUCAUCACUUUAUGCUUCCAUUCCGGCAGGAUCCGCUGUUGCUUUCAAAGCUCAAGCCAGUCUCUAGUUCUGAUCAAGGAACAUCAUUGCCUUUGAAGGAAACAAGUAUACUACGUGUUAGUGCCAAAAACUGCAGUGAGGUGCCAUUGCAGUUACAGUCCAUGUCUAUUGAAAUGGAUGAUGAUGUAGAAAGGUCAUUUACCUUGCAUCACAGUGGUGAGGAUAUUUUUGGCCCUGCCUACCUUGUUCCAGGAGAAGAGUUCAAAAAGGCGUUCACUGUCAUUCCUGAGGUGGAAUCAUCAAAUCUCAACUUAGGUUCAGUGUCCCUGCGAUGGAGGAGAAAUUUGCAAAGUAAAGAUCAAUCUAGUUCCACUGCAGAAGCUUGGGUUUUGACUAGACAUAAACUUCCUGAUGUAAAUGUAGAGUUAUCUCCAUUGGUUUUGACUGUGGAUUGUCCUCCUUGUGCUAUUCUUGGAGAUCCCUUCACAUAUUCGGUUAAAA
rnacentral:misc_RNA from 1 species